UCGGGAAUUUUGGACAAUGGGCGCAAGCCUGAUCCAGCCAUGCCGCGUGCAGGAUGAAGGCCUUCGGGUUGUAAACUGCUUUUGUACGGAACGAAAAGACUCUGGUUAAUACCUGGGGUCCAUGACGGUACCGUAAGAAUAAGCACCGGCUAACUACGUGCCAGCAGCCGCGGUAAUACAGAGGGUGCGAGCGUUAAUCGGAAUUACUGGGCGUAAAGCGCACGUAGGUGGCGACGUAAGUCGGGUGUGAAAGCCCCGGGCUCAACCUGGGAACCGCAUUCGAGACUGUGUUGCUGGAGUACGGAAGAGGAGGGCGGAAUUCCCGGUGUAGCGGUGAAAUGCGUAGAUAUCGGGAGGAACAUCAGUGGCGAAGGCGGCCCUCUGGUCCAGUACUGACACUCAAGUGCGAAAGCGUGGGGAGCAAACAGGAUUAGAUACCCCCGUAGUCCCUGAGCGGGCUGGCAAGGCGCAU
rnacentral:rRNA from 1 species